rnacentral:tRNA from 1 species
AAUAUCUUAGUAUAAAUAAUAUACUUGUUUUUGGUGUGAGUGAUAGUGAUAUUG